rnacentral:sRNA from 1 species
UAACGAAAUCAUCACGUAAGAAAAUAUGC